AUAAACCAUCUUCAUCCAAAUGC
rnacentral:siRNA from 1 species